rnacentral:sRNA from 1 species
AUGAGUUGCACUGCGUCAUAUGCCGGCAUGACAACUCCGGUGAAGGAUAAGGAAGGCCACGGGAUUCCAUGCUUACAACCUAUCGAUGUAGUGGAAUGUACAUAUGAAUAUUUUACAAAGUCACGGAAUAAACUGUCUUUAAGGGUAGGCGAUUUGAUUUACGUACUUAAUGAAGGUUCUAAUGGCUGGUGGGAUGGUGUUCUUAUCAGACACAGCGCUAAUAAUAAUAAUAAUCCGUUGAUACUAGACAGAGGUUGGUUCCCCCCUUCUUUUACACGGUCCAUCCUAAACGAACUACACGGGGUGCCUGA